UUGAACGCUGGCGGCAUGCUUUACACAUGCAAGUCGAACGGCAGCGGGGGCUUCGGCCUGCCGGCGAGUGGCGAACGGGUGAGUAAUGCAUCGGAACGUACCCAGUCGUGGGGGAUAACUACGCGAAAGCGUAGCUAAUACCGCAUACGCCCUGAGGGGGAAAGCGGGGGACCUUCGGGCCUCGCGCGAUUGGAGCGGCUGAUGUCGGAUUAGCUAGUUGGUGGGGUAAAGGCCUACCAAGGCGACGAUCCGUAGCUGGUCUGAGAGGAUGAUCAGCCACACUGGGACUGAGACACGGCCCAGACUCCUACGGGAGGCAGCAGUGGGGAAUUUUGGACAAUGGGCGCAAGCCUGAUCCAGCCAUGCCGCGUGAGUGAAGAAGGCCUUCGGGUUGUAAAGCUCUUUCAGUGGGAACGAAACGGUUCAAGUGAAUAACUUGGGCUAAUGACGGUACCCAAAGAAGAAGCACCGGCUAACUACGU
rnacentral:rRNA from 1 species